rnacentral:rRNA from 1 species
UACAGAGGGUGCAAGCGUUAAUCGGAAUUACUGGGCGUAAAGCGUGCGCAGGCGGUUUUGCAAGCCGGAUGUGAAAUCCCCGGGCUCAACCUGGGAAUGGCAUUCGGGACUGCAAGGCUGGAGUGCGGCAGAGGAGACUGGAAUUCCUGGUGUAGCAGUGAAAUGCGUAGAUAUCAGGAGGAACACCGAUGGCGAAGGCAGGUCUCUGGGCUGACACUGACGCUCAUGCACGAAAGCGUGGGGAGCAAACAGG